AACAGCAGCUGACAAUCUCAUGAGGCAUGCAGGGUCUCUUCCUCUUUAAAUCACCCGGGUCCAAGGUGCUGGGGUUUCAUUGAAGUGAUCCGAGCCACCCCAAGAGUCUGGUGGAGUGGAUGAAGUAAAACACGCAGUGAUGUCACACGCUGCUUGUCAGUGGACAUGGCCACACAUAUCUCCAGAUGCUUGCUGUGACCGCCUCACCAUACCAGACACACCCCCCUCCAGCUCCAGAUUCCCUUCACCACCAAAAAUUGAACGGUAGGCUCAACAUUUACACACAGGCCUCUCUUAAUUCAUCCUAA